rnacentral:rRNA from 1 species
AAGACCUUGCGCUUUUGGAGCGGCCGAUGUCUGAUUAGCUWGUUGGUGAGGUAAAGGCUUACCAAGGCUUCGAUCAGUAGCUGGUCUGAGAGGACGACCAGCCACACUGGGACUGAGACACGGCCCAGACUCCUACGGGAGGCAGCAGUGGGGAAUUUUGGACAAUGGGGGCAACCCUGAUCCAGCCAUGCCGCGUGAGUGAAGAAGGCCUUCGGGUUGUAAAGCUCUUUCAGCCGGAAMGAAACGGUUACGAUUAAUACCCGYAAYUACUGACGGUACCGGAAGAAGAAGCACCGGCUAACUACGUGCCAGCAGCCGCGGUAAUACGUAGGGUGCGAGCGUUAAUCGGAAUUACUGGGCGUAAAGGGUGCGCAGGCGGUUUUGUAAGUCAGAUGUGAAAUCCCCGGGCUUAACCUGGGAACU